AUAUCCUACAGAAACAUUGGAGUAAGUUUGGGAGAUUAGCAAGCACUAAAGUUUCACACAGUUUUAAAAGUACCAUAAUAUACUGGCAGACCAUAACUCAGUACUUUGCUUUGAGAUACUUUACUACAAUGUUCUUUGAGCCUUUACUCUUUGGAAAUUCAAAGGUUAGACUUUGCCCUUUUCAGCUCUUGGAUUUAACAGGGUAAAUCGUAAGCCCACACCUGUCUUCUGAAGUACAGAAAUACUGUUUCAAAACCAGUGCUUUGUCUCUUUAGACUUUGAAUUUAAUUUCUUACAGUGAAAACCAGUCCAUUCAGUAGUUUGGAUGAAUGGCAUGUGGCAACUUCCUGCUGUGUUCUGAGUCACGCAUGUCUGAGUAGAGCCAGAAUAAAUGGUACCUACAUGUGCAUGGCUGUGUAUUCUUUUUCUCCAAAAUGCUGAAAGCUUUAGCAUUCCCUUACUGUUAUUAAAUUUUGGGCUACUGUCCUUGGAAGAGCACACUCCUCCAUUUUUUCCCAUCUCCCAUCGCUUCCCCUUUCCCCCACUUUUCUUGAAGGAGCUAAUAAUGGGAAAAGAUGUUUCUCAUGGUGGGAGAUGGUUGCAGAAACGUGUUUCUCACCACCACAACUUAGAUGAACGUGGCACAGACAACAGCUUCAUGUUGCAGCUAGUCUGGAAACCCUUAUUAAGUCAUGUGCUUGUCAGCAUCAGGAGGUAAAAAUAUUUUAUGUAGCUUUGUGACUACCUGUCCUGAAUCACAAGAAACAAGCUACAGUAGGCCUGUUCCAGGCGUCACUAACAAGCAAAUUAAAUUAGUGUUCAAUCGGUCUGUUCUGACAAAUUGUCUUUAUCUUGGUUGAAAACAAAGUCCACAAGUAAGUUUUGUGGUUUAAACACAAGUGGAAACAUUCUAAUAUAGGAAUUUUGAGGAUUUUUUAAUUGCUUUUGUGAAAUGCUCUGAGCUUAUAUUUGUGUGCUUGGAAAUUACUUUAAAAUUCAUGUGGGGUUUUUUUUCUGCUUUUAUUUAUAAUCUUUUGAGCAAUUAGGACCUUUCUGUAACCACUGAAUUAACAAAAGUAACUUUUAUAUUUUUUUCUUUACUAAAGUAUCCAAACAUGAUAAGGAGUUGUUAGUAAAUUGUAUCAAGACCUUUGCAGACAUGAAGGUUAAGAGGAAUAUUAAAAACAAAUAGUGGUUUGAUUGGAAUUGUUCUGCAUGUGAGGUAGAACAGGUUCAUCCUGCUGCUUUUGAACUAAGCCAAGACUUAUUACAUAUUUGAUCUCAGCAGAGAGCAAAAUUAUUGAAAUAAGAUUUACUUUUGUUUAGACUAGCAAAACAGGUUAAAGAAAAUUAGUGUUCAGUUUUGAACUUCUGUUUAAACCAAAGCUAUACACCUUCCAUGUUCCAGAAGUUCUAAUCUUCCUUUGUAACAUCUGAAUCUAGAAAAGGGUUAUUUUACAUUUUUAGUGUUUUUAUUUUGUUGUUGCAUAAUUAAAGGCAUUUCUCAGGCAUAUUGGAAAGAACUAUGUGGAAAAAUACUACGAAAGAGCCAAGGAAUAAGAUUUCACUGUAAGGCAGUGCUGAAAAUUCAGGAGUCACUGACACCACUGUCAUAUUUUGCAGGCAGUACUUUUAUCUGUGCUAAGGAUUCUCCACCCGUGUUAUUGCUCUCCCUCAUGUUUUUUUUCCCCCUCUUUUUUGCUAUCUGUAAGAAAAUGUUAGGCUGGUUCUAAGAAUCCUGUCUCAAAUACCUACAUUGACUAUUAACAGUCUCUCUUUGGGUAAAAAUUGAAUACAGGUAAGGUUGCAAGACAUUGGAAACCAGUGCUUACCACAAAAAAACAUGCAGAAUGGCAGUACUGGAUAGAUGAACCUGAACUCCUUGUGGCUCAGUGUGCUGGAAUAAAACAUACAAUGCUACAUCAAGAAAGUUAAAUGCAUCAGUUCUCUGAGAUUCUCUUCAGUGCACAUUUGUACUAGCAAAGUAACAGUCACCUCUACUAAUACAACUUUACACAAUUUCCCAUGUCAGCUUUUGGGCAUUAUUGCAAAACUUGUAGCAUGGGAACCAAACAGGUUCUUACAAGACUAAGGGAGGUUAAAAAGUCCUAAACCCAACAGAGCUACAUCCGGUUUUGAGUUGGAGUGUAAGAAGAAAUGACAUUUCUGGUUUUGCUACUAUUUUGCUGCAUUCUGUUACUACUGUAGUCUAAUACCAUUUAUUGCUUAGUAUUUAUUUAUUUUAAAAUAUUACUAUAUUUUUUUGUCUGAAAGUGUCUCUCCUGUUUAAUCUACAGCUAAUUCUGAUGCUUUAGUAAAAGCUUACCUUUUCUUCUGUUCUCAGCUUAAGCUGAGAAAUACAGAUUUAUGAUAGUCAAGAGCUGUGUGUAAAGUUGGGAAUGGAGUAAGUUUUAGAGGCUUAAGAACCUCUCAUCUUACUGGGGAUGUACUGAACAACCAAAUGAAAUGGUGUUUUCAUUAACAGGCAUCUAGUAAACACAGUAUCCUAAUUAGUUUUGCUGUUGCUUAAACACUUGCUAGGUGAUUGAGUGUUAGUUUGGUUUUUUUUCUCUUUCAUUUUUCAUUGCAGUUCAUGCUGAAUUAUUUUAUUCUUUAAGGGUUUAAUCAAUUCUAAAAAUACACGUUUGGUAACAGUGCAACAAGUAGUAUUAUGUAAAAUUCUAGGAACUGUUUUAUAA